rnacentral:rRNA from 1 species
GCAAGUCGAACGAAGGCUCCAGCUUGCUGGAUGUCCUUAGUGGCAGACGGGAUAGUAACGCGUGGGAAUUUGUCCAAUAGUAAGGAAUAACUGCGGGAAACUGGAGCUAAUACCUUAUACGCCCUCCGGGGGAAAGAUUUAUCGCUAUUGGAUAAGCCCGCGUCGAAUUAGCUUGUUGGUGAGGUAAUGGCUCACCAAGGCGACGAUUCGUAGCUGGUCUGAGAGGACGAUC